CACGUCAGCAAUAAGAUAAAUACAAAUAACGUAUCUAUGGAAAAUAAUAGCUGUAAAUAUUUAUAUCCCAUAUUGGAGAAGUAACAGCUCAUAGCAACUAAUCAGAAAUUAGGGUUAAUACGCUUUUAUUAAGAUUUGUUUCCCAUCUUCUAAAAGAGAAGUCGGUUCGAGUCACACACACGCGCUCAUCUAACGGCUCAGAUCGACCAAUCA
rnacentral:lncRNA from 1 species